rnacentral:rRNA from 1 species
GACGAACGCUGGCGGCGUGCUUAACACAUGCAAGUCGAGCGGUAAGGCCCUUUCGGGGGUACACGAGCGGCGAACGGGUGAGUAACACGUGGGUGACCUGCCCUCAGCUCUGGGAUAAGCCUGGGAAACUGGGUCUAAUACCGGAUAUGACUCCAUGACGCAUGUUGUGGGGUGGAAAGCCUUGUGCGGCUGAGGAUGGGCCCGCGGCCUAUCAGCUUGUUGGUUGGGUGANGGCCUACCAAGGCGACGACGGGUAGCCGGCCUGAGAGGGCGACCGGCCACACUGGGACUGAGACACGGCCCAGACUCCUACGGGAGGCAGCAGUGGGGAAUCUUGCGCAAUGGGCGAAAGCCUGACGCAGCGACGCCGCGUGAGGGAUGACGGCCU